rnacentral:rRNA from 1 species
UACGUAGGGGGCUAGCGUUGUCCGGAAUCAUUGGGCGUAAAGAGCGUGUAGGCGGCCCGGUAAGUCCGCUGUGAAAGUCGGGGGCUCAACCCUCGAAUGCCGGUGGAUACUGUCGGGCUAGAGUGCGGAAGAGGCGAGUGGAAUUCCUGGUGUAGCGGUGAAAUGCGCAGAUAUCAGGAGGAACACCAAUUGCGAAGGCAGAUCUCUGGGCCGUAACUGACGCUGAGGAGCGAAAGCAUGGGGAGCGAACAGG